CUUGCAUGAGACCUGCCCGGUGAGAAUGUGGCUUCUGGCUGUCACUGCUGGUUAGUCCCAGUCACCUUGAACCCAGGUCAUGCUGCCCCUUCCUGAGUACCUGAAAAGCAGGGCAGUGGUGGUGGCUUCUGUUCAAACUCCAUAAUCCUCAGACCUCAACUUAGACUGUCCACCCUUCAGCCCCCUGGAGAGUCCAGAAACGGCUGUGGGCUGGCAGCAGCUGCUUCUGAACGAGCUGGGAGUCCUUCCGAAAGCCCAGCCUGAACCCUGCCCCUUUAGCCCCUCCAACGACAUUGUAAGCACCUGAUUCCAAUAUGAAACUCCUUCUGCUUACACCACCUGGAGUGGUUUCUGCUUCCUACGUGAUCCCUGGUUGAUAAACCCUGCCUGGCAAACCAAGGACGUGUGAAGGCCACAGGAACCACGGUGGAAGCGCUUUGGAAAGCACAGCUAUUUACAGGAGAACCGCACGACUCGCUUCGUCCGGUGCAAAGCAGUAACCCCCUCGUCUGGCUCUGGCAGCACACCCUGUGUGCUCUCACCUUUGAGCUGAGGUGCUCACGUCUGAGGUGGAGGAAGGAGGGCGGCAGGUGCAGGCCAGGACGGGGCCCCAGUUACCUAGAGAGUAACUAACAGUGCUUUGUCGGAGGGCGAGAGAAUCUGAUGGGGGCAGCUCCGUAUGAAAACUGGAGGUGCUGAGGCUGCCCCAGGCUCAGGAAACAAAGACCGAGGACAGGUGACAGGGCAGUGAGAAGGAGCUGGGCAGCACAGGAGAUGGCAGGAAACUCGAGUCAGGCAGCUGAAGCGUGCAGUACUUGCCACAAACGGAGUCGGGCUAUAUCUGAAACAGGUUGUUUGCAUGGACUCGAUGGGGCUGUAAGACUCAGUGACAGGGAGAAGCGGCUGGAAUGGGGUGUGUUGAGCUUUCCUGUCACCCAAGGCAGAGGGGCGCUGUAUUCUGGAAGGUGGCAGGCACCAUGAGAUCUCAAGAGCAAGAGAAAGAAGGCAUGCCACCCUGCGCUGUCGAAUCUGCACCAUGCUGGAUCUACCGACACGUCGAAAACAUUCUCAACGGCAGCAACAUUUCCGGGCAACGUUCACAUCGGCAAGAAGUGAGAGAACCUGGCCCAGGAAACACAAGAGACAGACAGUGGAACCAACCCCCAGGAUAACUUACCAGCUCUCACCGAGUUAAUUUCCUGCUCUCCCCCUCACCCUUACCCUGGGACACUUGGGAGAAUAUGACUUAAUUUCCCAUUUCUGGGGACUCUAAAAACUGUGCAGAAGGGUAAGGGAAGGGAAGGGAAGUCACUGAGAGCUGACCAUCUCCAGGACCAGGUAAAGGCUGAGAUGGAGACACAGGCUUGCUUGCCUGCCUGACGCAGAAAACCCUGGGAGCAAAACAGGCAAAGGUCCCAUAGGUGAUUCGUGGAAGAGCAAUCUAGAUGGCAGAUAGUCCUAUACAGUAAUGCUCAGGCACACCAGGGGUCAGAGAAAUGAAACAAAGUAACAGUGAGGUGUUACCGCCCACCCACCAGCCCAGCCAGCACAAACAAGGAAAUCACAAUUAAUGCUGUGGGGAUGUGGAAACAGGUGCCUUCACGUACUAUUAAUGGAAGUGAGAAUUGCUGUAGUUUAUUGGGAAAACAAUCUGGAAAGAUCCUAUAUAUAUAGUACACACACACACAUACACACACACAACAAUCUGGAAAGAUCCUAUAUAUAUAUCGUACACACACACACACACACACACACACACACACACACACACACCCGCCUUAAGCUCAGCACUCCUACUCUUGGGAAUCUAUGCCUGGGAAAUAAAAGCACUCCUCCUCAGAAGGACACACACACGCACACGUCCAUAUGUACAAACGAGAGUGUUUAUGGAAGUAUUAUUUAGAAGUGAAAAAACUAGAGACAAAAUGAAUGCACAUCAAAGAAAGAAUGUUGAAUCAGAUACGGGCCAUCCAGCCUACGGACUCCAUUAACAGAAUGAAAUAAGAGAGGCACACCAGUUAACUCGAGGGACUUUUCUAUGAAGUAUUGAUGAGCGAGAAAAGCAACAUGCAGUACAUUUGAUUAAUAUGAUCUCAUUUUUAUAAAACAAUUUUUAAAAACUUG